UCUUAUAGAGUAUACAUUUUAUGUAAAUAGUUAUUAGGGAAUAAUGACAAGAGAAAGUCUACAUGUUCAGUAGGCCUAAUGGCAUUUUUAAGUUAGGCUUACAGUUUUAGUCCUAUAGUAAGUAUUUUGUAUGCAGAAAUAAAUUGGUUGUGAAUAAGUCCCAGUAGAAUUCUUUAGUCUAAAAGGUAUCCUAGUUUUACUUUACUUUAUUCCACUUUUCUAUUGAACUUUUGAUUUCUGAAGUCAACAGAUUUGGCAAACUCCUACACUGUCAGAAAUCAAGGAUCCAACAUAUCUUCCAUUGACCUAUACAAAUAUAGAACUUCGCAAAGAUUUAUUUUUCUUACUAAAUUGCAUAGAGCUGGGAGUUCACCAGAUCUUUCAGUAAAAGCAGGUUUUGGUAUUGUCAGUAGGAUCAUCAAUAUGUAAGACUUCUAAAUUAGACAUGGCAAUGUUAGCAAGUAAGGGGUACUGGUCAAGGUUAUAAAGUGAUUUCUAUGAUGAAUAUGUCUGAUACCCUCCUAAGAUGAAAGCCUAUUUCAUAAACAUGUAUUUUCUAGGUGCAAAACAACAAAUUCAACAUUCUGAUCAUAUGCAUUGUUUUGUUGCAGCAUGAUUUCUAACUUUUCCUUAGGCUGAACACUAUGAAUAGAUAUUCAAGCCCAGAUAAGAGCUCCAAGGAUGUCAGACACAAUUUUUGAAUUAUGCCAUUCUUUACCUGCUUAGUUGAGAGAAACAUCCUUCUGACAUUUAUAGGACUGGUCCUCAGCCUCAGGCUCUGGGUCUGAGCACUUAUCAGCAAGAAAGGAACUUCAGGCUACCUUGUCAAACUGGGUAGUGAUGAAUAAGUUCAAGGAUUCCUGGAAGUCCUAAAGUCUGAUUGAAGCUACCACUGCUGCUGCCCUUCCUAGAAUGACCCUACUGGAAUCACAGGUGCCCAUUUGCAAGAUGAGCCUCAUCAACAGAAGAUCUAUGGGCACUUGUCAACAGACCAGCAGACCACACCUGCCUGUUUUCACAGAUCUCCCCAUCCUCGCCCAAGGGCUCUCACUGAGGGAGCAUAUGUGUCACAGGGAUGAAGAAUGAUAAAGCCACCACUGACUCAUCCCACCUUUGCAGCAGGAACAAUGGCAAUAACUGAGUGGCUAAAGAAGCAAACCAGUGACUACCAGGUUUAAGAUAAUAACAGAAGAGGUGAAUCAUCUCGAUGAUUACCACACAGGCUAACUCACAGUGUGUCGCACGUGUUUGCCUAUUUCAUACUGAAGAUACUGAGGAGGAAGGGGCCUGAUGUGCAAAUAACAAUAACUUUAAGAAAAUAGGCCAGUGGUUUUAAAAAAUUGAUACUUAUAAGACAGUACAACUGCAUAUGAAAGAAGGAAAGCUGUCAUAUCUUAGAGAAUCUUAUUAAGAGUUGUGUGAAACUCCCAAAUGGGCUUAAUACUACAAGCAACAAAUAAGCCAAGGAAUAGUACUUUUUAAACAGUAAGAGACAAAUUCAGCAUGUGUUAGUCUGUCAAGAAAGCUGCCUCGCUCGGUACUAGGGAUGGACUCCAGGGGUGCUCAACCACUGAACUACAUCCUCAUCAUCUUCAUCUUCAGAUAGGGUCUCACCUAGUUGCCCAGGAUGGCCUCCGACUUGCAAGCUGUAAAGAGCCAAGAACAGAGAGCAGAGAGUGCAGGAGAAUGGCAGAGAUAUCAACUUUCAUAAAAGGUCUGGUGGGAAUAAAGGAAGCUCAAGUAAACAAAGUCAAGCAUCACUGAAAAGCCCCUGUGCACAAGAUGCUGAGCUGGGCAGGACGACACUAAGGGGAACUAUACCCUGGGAAGACAUCCUGUGAGACUAUCCUGUUUCCACUGUUCUAAGAGGAUACACAAAGCAAAACUUUUUUAAAAAGGACAACGAAGACAACAUGGGAUACAAGACACUGCAACCCUUCCUGCAAAGUGAAAGAAGCCAAUGAGAAAUUAAGAGAAUUCAUUAUAUUAAGAUGCUGGAAGGAUCUUAUUGACCAACAACUUAAAUGACAUAAAAAUUUACAUUUAUUAAUAUUUUCUGGCUCCAAUCACUCUCCCCAUUGAGUCAAUGACUUCUUUUCUUCACUGUCAGCUUUUCCUAUAUUGUUGAAUUGCAGAAUUUCAUGAAGUUGACUAAAGUGAUGUCAGAGAAUGCCUUAUUUACAAAUAAAAUUUGAUUGUCAACUAGUUAACAAAGAGCAAAGUGAUGAAAACAUAGAUAUGAUAAGUGCUUCAAAGAGUAAGAUUUGAAUAUCAAAAUAUCCAUGGGCCAGGAUGGACUUUGGGCCUGAUCCAAGGGGACUAAUUUCAUCAAUGACCAGUUUAUUAGCUUAUAUUUUAGCAGUUUACUUUUCUGUAAACUGUGAGAUCUUGAAUAAUGACUAAUCAGAAAAUAAGAAUUCUGUGUAUGACAAUGGAAUUAUUCAUCCAUAAAGAAAUGAAAUUAUGUCAUUUCAGGAAAAUGGAUGGAACUGAGAACAUUAUGUGAAGUGAAAUGAGCCAACUCAGAAGGACAACAGUUAUAUGUUUUCUUUCAUUUGUGGAAGCUAGAAAGGAAAAAGGAAAAGAAUGGUGGGGAGAUCUCAUGAAAAUCCAAGGGAGAUCAGUAGAAUAGA